UACGGAGGAUGCGAGCGUUAUCCGGAUUUAUUGGGUUUAAAGGGGGCGCAGACGGCGAUGCAAGCCAGGAGUGAAAGCCCGGGGCCCAACCCCGGGACUGCUCUUGGAACUGCGUGGCUGGAGUGCAGGAGGGGCAGGCGGAAUUCCUGGUGUAGCGGUGAAAUGCGUAGAUAUCAGGAGGAACACCGGUGGCGAAGGCGGCCUGCUGGACUGCAACUGACGUUGAGGCCCGAAAGCGUGGGGAGCAAACAGG
rnacentral:rRNA from 1 species